rnacentral:rRNA from 1 species
UCAGCUCGUGUCGUGAGAUGUGGUUAGUCCGCAACGAGCGCAACCCUAUUGUUAGUUGCCAUCAUUCAGUUGGGCACUCUAGCGAGACUGCCGGUAAUAAACCGGAGGAAGGUGGGGAUGACGUCAAAUCAUCAUGCCCCUUAUGACCUGGGCUACACACGUGCUACAAUGGUUGGUACAACGAGUUGCGAGUCGGUGACGGCGAGCUAAUCUCUUAAAGCCAAUCUCAGUUCGGAUUGUAGGCUGCAACUCGCCUACAUGAAGUCGGAAUCGCUAGUAAUCGCGGAUCAGCACGCCGCGGUGAAUACGUUCCCGGGCCUU